CACGUUAUAUGCCUUUGUUUAUUGUCAGCCGCAUUUUUGCUGCCGCAGCUCGCUGUCCUCUUACGGGCUAUUUAAACGGUAAAAUGACAAGCCCGAAUAUCUAUUCGGGCUUUUUUUAUGGCAACG
rnacentral:sRNA from 14 species